rnacentral:rRNA from 1 species
AGUAAUGCAAAAGAAAUUGCCCUGAUGUGGGGGAUAACCAUUGGAAACGAUGGCUAAUACCGCAUAAUGCCUACGGGCCAAAGAGGGGGACCUUCGGGCCUCUCGCGCCCCGAUAUGCCUAGGUGGGAUUAGCUAGUUGGUGAGGUAAGGGCUCACCAAGGCGACGAUCCCUAGCUGGUCUGAGAGGAUGAUCAGCCACACUGGAAGGGGGACACGGUCCAGACUCCUACGGGAGGCAGUUUUGGGGAAUAUUGCACAAUGGGCGCAAGCCUGAUGCAGCCAUGCCGCGUGUGUGAAGAAGGCCUUCGGGUUGUAAAGCACUUUCAGUCGUGAGGAAGGUAGUGUAGUUAAUAGCUGCAUUAUUUGACGUUAGCGACAGAAGAAGCACCG